UGCUAAGGGGAAGUGGAUAAUGCCUCACAGAAAACUCCCUGCGCAGCAGGGGGCUGAGAAGGCAGCCAGGCAUCCUCAAGUGGCCUGGCCUUCCAGACAAGGAAGAGCCUGAGGGACCAGAGGCUGGGUUGAGAGAAGGAGGCUCUGUGGGCCUGCCGACUGGAGGCCAUGUGGUGACAGGGGUCAGAAAUGGCAGAUACUGCAGAUGACUGAGAAGACAGAACAUGGUGGUACAAACCUUGGUAUCCCAUCUACAGGACUUUCUCCAGUGACACAGACAAACCUGAGCUCAUCCUGUGAGGGAAGAUGCUUUAUGGAUAACUCCAGAAAGGAAGAGUUAUAGAUCACACCAACAGGUUGACAGCAUCUGAACUUGCCCUGGGUGGGGUAGGUGAGGGCUGAAUGCCUGUGGUGGAGAUUUGAUGAGGGAGGAUUUUAGGCCCUCUGUCCUGAGCUUUCUUUUCCGCAACCUCAGAGCUGUGGAUCUAGUAUGUCCUGGACGGACGGAUGACCCCGCGCCCCCGAGUUCUUUAAGCUGAUCUCUAUCACUGUUCCCGGUGCCAGGCAGCUCAAGCGAGGCAGGGGCUCAUGCUCAGAGCAUGCGCAGAUGCCAGGAUGCUCGUGAUGCAGAGAGGCAGACUGGACCGAGCAUCUGUCUCUGCCCAAGCCAUCUCUAACCACACUGGCCCAACUCUUCAGGUUGAGAAUCCCUUAUGGGAAUUUGCACUGGCACUCCCUAUCAAGAACAAAAGACUAUCGUGAGCUGGGACAGACGAGCAGAGGUGAAAUGUGGCAGAGAUGUCACUGGGACUGAGGACCUGCUCUAACUGUCCCUGGGCUCCCCAACCUGUUCUUUCAUGUUAAAGGCCCCAGUUAAGAAUUGUAUCCUCCCAGUACAACAGCUGUGACUACUUGUAAGGGACCCUAGAGGUCAGGCUAUUCACCUUCCUUCCUGGAAGGGGAUGCGGAGAGGGUCAUUGGACAGGAACGCGGGAUUCUUGGCCACUCCCUCCUAUACCUCCAAGCCUACUGAGUGUGACUCGCUGCAGUACACACAGACAGUGGAAGGCCUGCUGUGGCGAAGUUGUUAUCCAUGCUGGGGCAGGACAGCUUCUUUGGGGUCCCCUGCUCCUGUAAGUAACCCCUUAACCCUGCUCUGUAAAUAAACUAAAUAAACUCAUGGGCUCCCCACAUUGGGCCCACCUGA